GAGUCUCCACACGGCCUGUUUUGGAUGCCAGCAUUUCUUCUACAUUAACAAUACCACUUUAAUAAACAGAUGUACUUACAGAAAGCGCCCUUCUAGGAAUAAAAUAUUCUGUUUAUGGAAAUGAAGUUAACUCUGAACUUAAGCCAACUUUCUCCUAUCAAAAAGACUAUUGUACCAUGUCAGCCUGUUGCAAACUUCAGAUGUUUUCCAUCUUGCAGAUGUUGUUGUCUUCAAUAAAUAUGUAAUACUUUUA